rnacentral:rRNA from 1 species
UACGUAGGGACCAAGCGUUGUUCGGAUUUACUGGGCGUAAAGGGCGCGUAGGCGGCAAUUCAAGUCAUCUGUGAAAUCUCCGGGCUUAACCGGGAGGGUGCGGUGAAUACUGAGGGACUAGAGUACGGGAGAGGAAAGUGGAAUUCCUGGUGUAGCGGUGAAAUGCGUAGAUAUCUGGAGGAACACCGGUGGCGAAGGCGGCAUCCUGGACCGGCAUUGACGCUGAGGCGCGAAAGCCAGGGGAGCAAACGGG